rnacentral:lncRNA from 1 species
CGGGACCCCAGCCGGGGGCGGGCGCGCCGGGAUCCGAAGCUCCGUGACUGAGUUGUUGGGGGUAGGGCCAGCCGAGCGCCAGCCGGGGUGGAUCGGGGAGUACCGGCCGGGGCAGGGCGCGGACACUGGAGACGCAAAGUGCUCUCCCAGGGCGCCGCCGGGUAGAGAACCAAGAGGUCACCAUUCGAUGGACAGAGACUUCACGCACCACGGCCAUAUCUAUCUGGGACCCUUCAUGUUGAGACAGAUCCUGCCGUUGAGACAGAUCGAUUCGGUGGCAAACUCAGCGAGGGGCAGGGAUGAGCACACAGACUAAACCCUCCCUUCCCUUUUUGAAGACAGCGAGAUGGUGGGAAGCCUGACGGCGGGCGCCGUGUGAGUCCCGGACCUGCCGCUUCCGGCUCGACGACCCUGGGCCGGCUACCGGCGCU